rnacentral:rRNA from 1 species
GACGAACGCUGGCGGCGUGCUUAACACAUGCAAGUCGAACGAUGAAAGCUGGAGCUUGCUCCGGCUGGAUUAGUGGCGAACGGGUGAGUAACACGUGAGCAAUCUGCCCUUGACUCUGGGAUAACUCUGAGAAAUCGGUGCUAAUACCGGAUAUGACCCUUGGCGGCAUCGCUGGGGGUGGAAAGUUUUUCGGUCAAGGAUGAGCUCGCGGCCUAUCAGCUUGUUGGUGAGGUAAUGGCUCACCAAGGCGACGACGGGUAGCCGGCCUGAGAGGGUGACCGGCCACACUGGGACUGAGACACGGCCCAGACUCCUACGGGAGGCAGCAGUGGGGAAUAUUGCACAAUGGGCGCAAGCCUGAUGCAGCAACGCCGCGUGGGGGAUGACGGCCUUCGGGUUGUAAACCUCUUUUAGCAGGGAAGGAGCGAAAGUGACGGUACCUGCAGAAAAAGCACCGGCUAACUACGUGCCAGCCGCCGCAGUAA